CGCAUGCUCCGGGGUCGGUGAGAUUCCGAACCGGCGGUGACAGUCCGCGACCCGGCCUCCACGUCCGCGCCACCAGCGCGGCGGUGGGGUCCGGUUGAGCCGGUGGAAUUCCGGCACCGACGGUGAAAGUCCGGAUAGGAGGAGCAGUGG
rnacentral:ncRNA from 2 species